CGAAUUAAAAUAAUUAGUAUACCAUCAUAAAUUUCCAUUGUAGCUGUUUCUAUCAGCGACUUACUAGUUGCAUGUACUCCUUGUGUUACUUAAACAAGAAGGUAGAAUCUUCGAAAUCAUAGUCUGAUUAUAUUGUCGAUCAAAUUCCACUCCCAGCAUCUCCAAUGAUUAAUGUUGAACCAAAGCGGAAUGUAUCAUCCAAGAGUAACUAAGUGGUAAAUCAGUCGUUUGUCCAUAUCAUGCCGCCACCAUUGCGAUGAAAUCCAACCGGUUAUGAUACCGCCAUAAGGAUGCCUCACCAAUUAAGAUGGAACUUCCAACGCGACGCCUUCAAGAAGGUUGCAACACUAAUUUAGAACAUCGUCUUCAUCGCUAUUCCAGAAAUAUGUGCUGUCGCCGGCCACCUAGCUACAUCCAAAAUAUGUAUAAUUCAUUGGCUUCCCAAAUUUUAAUAGGAUUGCUUUAGGCAACAAACAAAACAGGUUCCAAUUUCAGAGUAUAAAGUAUUGGAUAUGGGACUUACACGUCACUCUAUUUCUUGCCUUCAUGUUCUUUGUUCACUAUUGGUUGACUACAUCUAUAUAUAUCGAAGUAAUUAAAUAUAUAUAUAGGUUUUGUAUCUAUAGAUACACAUUCAUAUAUAUGCACUCGAUAUAUAUAGACGCACAUCUUCUCUUCCAAAAGCUGGAAUACUCGAUCCUCACAGUCACACAGCUAGCAACGCCGGCG
rnacentral:lncRNA from 1 species